rnacentral:rRNA from 1 species
GACGAACGCUGGCGGCGUGCUUAACACAUGCCAGUCGAACGGAAAGGCCCUUCGGGGUACUCGAGUGGCGAACGGGUGAGUAACACGUGGGUGAUCUGCCCUGCACUUUGGGAUAAGCCUGGGAAACUGGGUCUAAUACCGAAUAGGACCACGCGCUUCAUGGUGUGUGGUGGAAAGCUUUUGCGGUGUGGGAUGGGCCCGCGGCCUAUCAGCUUGUUGGUGGGGUAAUGGCCUACCAAGGCGACGACGGGUAGCCGGCCUGAGAGGGUGACCGGCCACACUGGGACUGAGAUACGGCCCAGACUCCUACGGGAGGCAGCAGUGGGGAAUAUUGCACAAUGGGCGCAGGCCUGAUGCAGCGACGCCGCGUGAGGGAUGACGGCCUUCGGGUUGUAAACCUCUUUCAAUAGGGACGAAGCGCAAGUGACGGUACCUAUAGAAGAAGCACCGGCCAACUACGUG